rnacentral:ncRNA from 1 species
CAACCCACGCAGGGGAGUCCCGCCGAGGGGACUGAGAGGCAGACAGGGCUUUGGCCCGGUGACGCGACCCUUUGAACCUGACCCAGUUGACACUGGCGUAGGAAGCUGAGGGCGCAUCAUG